UUGUGGUUAAACCACUGGAACUCCGCCCCAAAGGAUGAUGUCCGUGGAUACGGAAUGGGACGAAGGGGAGGAUCACAU
rnacentral:ncRNA from 1 species